rnacentral:rRNA from 1 species
AUUGAACGCUGGCGGCAUGCUUUACACAUGCAAGUCGAACGGUAACAGGCCGCAAGGUGCUGACGAGUGGCGAACGGGUGCGUAAUGCAUCGGAACGUGCCCAGUCGUGGGGGAUAACUACUCGAAAGAGUAGCUAAUACCGCAUACGAUCUAUGGAUGAAAGCGGGGGACCGUAAGGCCUCGCGCGAUUGGAGCGGCCGAUGUCAGAUUAGGUAGUUGGUGGGGUAAAGGCUCACCAAGCCAACGAUCUGUAGCUGGUCUGAGAGGACGACCAGCCACACGGGGACUGAGACACGGCCCAGACUCCUACGGGAGGCAGCAGUGGGGAAUUUUGGACAAUGGGCGCAAGCCUGAUCCAGCAAUGCCGCGUGCAGGAAGAAGGCCUUCGGGUUGUAAACUGCUUUUGUACGGAACGAAACGGCUCUGGUUAAUACCCGGGGCUAAUGACGGUACCGGAAGAAUAAGCACCGGCUAACUACGUG